UACGAAGGGGGCUAGCGUUGCUCGGAAUCACUGGGCGUAAAGGGUGCGUAGGCGGGUUCUUAAGUCAGAGGUGAAAUCCUGGAGCUCAACUCCAGAACUGCCUUUGAUACUGAGAGUCUUGAGUUCGGGAGAGGUGAGUGGAACUGCGAGUGUAGAGGUGAAAUUCGUAGAUAUUCGCAAGAACACCAGUGGCGAAGGCGGCUCACUGGCCCGAUACUGACGCUGAAGCACGAAAGCGUGGGGAGCAAACAGG
rnacentral:rRNA from 1 species